GACGUAGGGGGCGAGCGUUGUCCGGAAUUACUGGGCGUAAAGGGCGCGUAGGCGGCCCGUGAAGUCAGGGGUGAAAUACCGCAGCUCAACUGCGGGGGUGCCCAUGAAACCAGCGGGCUUGAGGGCAGGAGAGGGGAGCGGAAUUCCCAGUGUAGCGGUGAAAUGCGUAGAUAUUGGGAGGAACACCAGUGGCGAAGGCGGCUCUCUGGCCUGGCCCUGACGCUGAGGCGCGAAAGCGUGGGGAGCGAACAGG
rnacentral:rRNA from 1 species